UACGUAGGGGGCAAGCGUUGUCCGGAUUUACUGGGCGUAAAGAGCGCGUAGGCGGCCCGGUAAGUCCGCUGUGAAAGUCAGGGGCUCAACCCUUGGAAGCCGGUGGAUACUGUCGGGCUAGAGUCCGGAAGAGGCGAGUGGAAUUCCUGGUGUAGCGGUGGAAUGCGCAGAUAUCAGGAGGAACACCUAUAGCGAAGGCAGCUUGCUGGGACGUUACUGACGCUAAGGCGCGAAAGCGUGGGGAGCGAACAGG
rnacentral:rRNA from 1 species